UUAAGCGACUAAGCGUACACGGUGGAUGCCCUGGCAGUCAGAGGCGAUGAAGGACGUGCUAAUCUGCGAUAAGCGUCGGUAAGGUGAUAUGAACCGUUAUAACCGGCGAUUUCCGAAUGGGGAAACCCAGUGUGUUUCGACACACUAUCAUUAACUGAAUCCAUAGGUUAAUGAGGCGAACCGGGGGAACUGAAACAUCUAAGUACCCCGAGGAAAAGAAAUCAACCGAGAUUCCCCCAGUAGCGGCGAGCGAACGGGGAGCAGCCCAGAGCCUGAAUCAGUGUGUGUGUUAGUGGAAGCGUCUGGAAAGGCGCGCGAUACAGGGUGACAGCCCCGUACACAAAAAUGCACAUAUUGUGAGCUCGAUGAGUAGGGCGGGACACGUGGUAUCCUGUCUGAAUAUGGGGGGACCAUCCUCCAAGGCUAAAUACUCCUGACUGACCGAUAGUGAACCAGUACCGUGAGGGAAAGGCGAAAAGAACCCCGGCGAGGGGAGUGAAAAAGAACCUGAAACCGUGUACGUACAAGCAGUGGGAGCCUCUUUAUGGGGUGACUGCGUACCUUUUGUAUAAUGGGUCAGCGACUUAUAUUCUGUAGCAAGGUUAACCGAAUAGGGGAGCCGAAGGGAAACCGAGUCUUAACUGGGCGUUAAGUUGCAGGGUAUAGACCCGAAACCCGGUGAUCUAGCCAUGGGCAGGUUGAAGGUUGGGUAACACUAACUGGAGGACCGAACCGACUAAUGUUGAAAAAUUAGCGGAUGACUUGUGGCUGGGGGUGAAAGGCCAAUCAAACCGGGAGAUAGCUGGUUCUCCCCGAAAGCUAUUUAGGUAGCGCCUCGUGAAUUCAUCUCCGGGGGUAGAGCACUGUUUCGGCAAGGGGGUCAUCCCGACUUACCAACCCGAUGCAAACUGCGAAUACCGGAGAAUGUUAUCACGGGAGACACACGGCGGGUGCUAACGUCCGUCGUGAAGAGGGAAACAACCCAGACCGCCAGCUAAGGUCCCAAAGUCAUGGUUAAGUGGGAAACGAUGUGGGAAGGCCCAGACAGCCAGGAUGUUGGCUUAGAAGCAGCCAUCAUUUAAAGAAAGCGUAAUAGCUCACUGGUCGAGUCGGCCUGCGCGGAAGAUGUAACGGGGCUAAACCAUGCACCGAAGCUGCGGCAGCGACACUAUGUGUUGUUGGGUAGGGGAGCGUUCUGUAAGCCUGUGAAGGUGUACUGUGAGGUAUGCUGGAGGUAUCAGAAGUGCGAAUGCUGACAUGAGUAACGAUAAAGCGGGUGAAAAGCCCGCUCGCCGUAAGACCAAGGGUUCCUGUCCAACGUUAAUCGGGGCAGGGUGAGUCGACCCCUAAGGCGAGGCCGAAAGGCGUAGUCGAUGGGAAACAGGUUAAUAUUCCUGUACUUGGUGUUACUGCGAAGGGGGGACGGAGAAGGCUAUGUUGGCCGGGCGACGGUUGUCCCGGUUUAAGCGUGUAGGCUGGUUUUCCAGGCAAAUCCGGAAAAUCAAGGCUGAGGCGUGAUGACGAGGCACUACGGUGCUGAAGCAACAAAUGCCCUGCUUCCAGGAAAAGCCUCUAAGCAUCAGGUAACAUCAAAUCGUACCCCAAACCGACACAGGUGGUCAGGUAGAGAAUACCAAGGCGCUUGAGAGAACUCGGGUGAAGGAACUAGGCAAAAUGGUGCCGUAACUUCGGGAGAAGGCACGCUGAUAUGUAGGUGAAGCGACUUGCUCGUGGAGCUGAAAUCAGUCGAAGAUACCAGCUGGCUGCAACUGUUUAUUAAAAACACAGCACUGUGCAAACACGAAAGUGGACGUAUACGGUGUGACGCCUGCCCGGUGCCGGAAGGUUAAUUGAUGGGGUUAGCGGUAACGCGAAGCUCUUGAUCGAAGCCCCGGUAAACGGCGGCCGUAACUAUAACGGUCCUAAGGUAGCGAAAUUCCUUGUCGGGUAAGUUCCGACCUGCACGAAUGGCGUAAUGAUGGCCAGGCUGUCUCCACCCGAGACUCAGUGAAAUUGAACUCGCUGUGAAGAUGCAGUGUACCCGCGGCAAGACGGAAAGACCCCGUGAACCUUUACUAUAGCUUGACACUGAACAUUGAGCCUUGAUGUGUAGGAUAGGUGGGAGGCUUUGAAGUGUGGACGCCAGUCUGCAUGGAGCCGGCCUUGAAAUACCACCCUUUAAUGUUUGAUGUUCUAACGUUGGCCCCUGAUCGGGGUUGCGGACAGUGUCUGGUGGGUAGUUUGACUGGGGCGGUCUCCUCCUAAAGAGUAACGGAGGAGCACGAAGGUUGGCUAAUCCUGGUCGGACAUCAGGAGGUUAGUGCAAUGGCAUAAGCCAGCUUGACUGCGAGCGUGACGGCGCGAGCAGGUGCGAAAGCAGGUCAUAGUGAUCCGGUGGUUCUGAAUGGAAGGGCCAUCGCUCAACGGAUAAA
rnacentral:rRNA from 1 species